rnacentral:rRNA from 1 species
UGGGGAAUAUUGGACAAUGGGCGAAAGCCUGAUCCAGCCAUGCCGCGUGUGUGAAGAAGGUCUUCGGAUUGUAAAGCACUUUAAGUUGGGAGGAAGGGCAGUAAGCUAAUACCUUGCUGUUUUGACGUUACCGACAGAAUAAGCACCGGCUAACUCUGUGCCAGCAGCCGCGGUAAUACAGAGGGUGCAAGCGUUAAUCGGAAUUACUGGGCGUAAAGCGUGCGCAGGCGGUUAUGCAAGACAGGUGUGAAAUCCCCGGGCUUAACCUGGGAACUGCACUUGUGACUGCAUAGCUGGAGUACGGCAGAGGGUGGUGGAAUUUCCUGUGUAGCGGUGAAAUGCGUAGAUAUAGGAAGGAACACCAGUGGCGAAGGCGACCACCUGGACUGAUACUGACACUGAGGUGCGAAAGCGUGGGGAGCAAACAGGAUUAGAUACCCCUGUAGUCCCUGAGCGGGCUGGCAAGGCGCAU